UACGUAGGGUGCAAGCGUUACUCGGAAUUACUGGGCGUAAAGCGCACGUAGGCGGACUCUUAAGUCGGUGGUGAAAUCCUGGAGCUCAACUCCAGAACUGCCUUCGAUACUGAGAGUCUCGAGUCCGGGAGAGGUGAGUGGAACUGCGAGUGUAGAAGUGAAAUUCGUAGAUAUUCGCAAGAACACCAGUGGCGAAGGCGGCUCACUGGCCCGGUACUGACGCUGAGGUGCGAAAGCGUGGGGAGCAAACAGG
rnacentral:rRNA from 1 species